GAUGAACGCUGGCGGCGUGCCUUAAGCAUGCAAGUCGAACGAUUUCAGUAGCAAUAUUGUUUUAGUGGCAGACGGGUGAGUAAUAUAUAGGAAUCUACCUCUACGUGGGGGAUAGCUCGCCGAAAGGCGGGGUAAUACCGCAUAUGGCCUACGGGUCAAAGACCUUAACCGGUCGCGAAGAGAGGAGCCUGUAUCCUAUCAGCUAGUUGGUGAGGUAAUGGCUCACCAAGGCUACGACGGGUAGGGGGUGUGAGAGCACGACCCCCCACAAGGACACUGAGACACGGGUCCUACACCUACGGGUGGCUG
rnacentral:rRNA from 1 species